UACAGAGGAGCCAAGCGUUGUCCGGAUUGACUGGGCGUAAAGCGCACGCAGGCGGAUGCGCGCGUGGGGUGUGAAAUCUGGCCGCUUAACGGCCAGGCGCCAUCCCAUACGGCGCGUCUGGAGUGAUGCAGAGGUCGAUGGAAUUGCCGGUGUAGUGGUGAAAUGCGUAGAGAUCGGCAGGAACACCCAGGGGGAAACCAGUCGACUGGGCAUCUACUGACGCUGAGGUGCGAGAGCGUGGGGAGCGAACCGGAUUAGAUACCGUGUA
rnacentral:rRNA from 1 species